rnacentral:rRNA from 1 species
AACGAACGCUGGCGGCAGGCUUAACACAUGCAAGUCGAACGCCCUCUUCGGAGGGAGUGGCAGACGGGUGAGUAACACGUGGGAACCUACCUUUCGGUUCGGAAUAACUCAGGGAAACUUGUGCUAAUACCGGAUACGCCCUUUGGGGGAAAGAUUUAUCGCCGAGAAAUGGGCCCGCGUUAGAUUAGCUAGUUGGUAAGGUAAUGGCUUACCAAGGCUACGAUCUAUAGCUGGUUUGAGAGGAUGAUCAGCCACACUGGGACUGAGACACGGCCCAGACUCCUACGGGAGGCAGCAGUGAGGAAUCUUGGACAAUGGGCGCAAGCCUGAUCCAGCCAUGCCGCGUGAGUGAAGAAGGCCUUAGGGUUGUAAAGCUCUUUCAACGGUGAAGAUAAUGACGGUAGCCGUAGAAGAAGCUCCGGCUAACUUCGUGCCAGCCGCCGCCGUAACAC